rnacentral:tRNA from 1 species
GGCGGCGUAGCUCAGCCUGGUUAGAGCAGCGGUAUCAUAAAUCGCGGGUCGUUGGUUCAAAUCCAACCGCCGCCA